rnacentral:rRNA from 1 species
CACGUACUGUGCGAACGUUAUUCGGAAUCACUGGGCUUAAAGGGCGCGUAGGCGGGCUGACAAGUCUGGGGUGAAAUCCCGCGGCUCAACCGUGGAACUGCCUCAGAUACUGACGGCCUCGAGGGAGAUAGGGGCAUGCGGAACUGUAGGUGGAGCGGUGAAAUGCGUUGAUAUCUACAGGAACUCCGGUGGCGAAAGCGGCGUGCUGGAUCUCUUCUGACGCUGAGGCUCGAAAGCUAGGGGAGCAAACGGG